UGGGGAAUAUUGCACAAUGGGCGCAAGCCUGAUGCAGCCAUGCCGCGUGUGCGCAGAAGGCCUUCGGGUUGUAAAGCACUUUCAGCGGGGAGGAAGGCGGUGAGGUUAAUAACCUCACCGAUUGACGUGACCCGCAGAAGAAGCACCGGCUAACUCCGUGCCAGCAGCCGCGGUAAUACGGAGGGUGCAAGCGUUAAUCGGAAUUACUGGGCGUAAAGCGCACGCAGGCGGUCUGUCAAGUCGGAUGUGAAAUCCCCGGGCGCAACCUGGGAACUGCAUUCGAAACUGGCAGGCUAGAGUCGUGUAGAGGGGGGUAGAAUUCCAGGUGUAGCGGUGAAAUGCGUAGAGAUCUGGAGGAAUACCGGUGGCGAAGGCGGCCCCCUGGACAAAGACUGACGCUCAGGUGCGAAAGCGUGGGGAGCAAACAGG
rnacentral:rRNA from 1 species